rnacentral:rRNA from 1 species
AUUGAACGCUGGCGGCCGGCCUAACACAUGCAAGUCGAACGAGUGGCGGACGGGUGAGUAAUGUCUGGGAAACUGCCUGAUGGAGGGGGGUCACUACUGGAAACGGUCGCUUAUACCGCAUACCAUCGGAUGUGUCCAGAUGGGAUUAGCUGGUAGGUGGGGUAAAGGCUCACCUAGGCGACGAUCCCUAGCUGGUCUGAGAGGAUGACCAGCCACACUGUAACGGAGACACGGUCCAGCCUCCUACGGAAGGAAGCAGUGGGUAAUAUUGCACAAUGGGCGCAAGCCUGAUGCAGCCAUGCCGCGUGGAGGAAGAAGGCUUUCGGGUUGUAAAGUACUUUCAGCGGGGAGGCGUUACCCGCAGAAGAAGCACCGGCUAACUCCGUGCCAGCAGCCGCGGUAAUUC